rnacentral:rRNA from 1 species
UACGAAGGGUGCAAACGUUGCUCGGAAUUAUUGGGCGUAAAGCGUACGUAGGCGGAUUGUUAAGUGAGGGGUGAAAUCCCCGGGCUCAACCUGGGAAUGGCGGUGGAUACUGGGCAGCUAGAGUGUGUCAGAGGAUGGUGGAAUUCCCGGUGUAGCGGUGAAAUGCGUAGAGAUCGGGAGGAACAUCAGUGGCGAAGGCGGCCAUCUGGGACAACACUGACGCUGAAGCACGAAAGCGUGGGGAGCAAACAGG